GGGAGGGUGGGGUAUUUUAUGAGGUCGGGCAGAGGGGUGUUUUGGGUGGGGUUGGGGAUAUAAAGCCUGAUAGCACUGGAAAUAGUGCUAUAGCUGAGACAACAAGAGUUUGCACUAAAGUCAUGUCCUUGUCCUGCUAAGGGUAGGAGGGCAUGAGACCUCAGCAAGGCCCUUGAGUUUCCAUGAGCACAGGGUGUUACACACUCAACGGUCCAACACAGAGAGUCCAUCCAUUCCCCUAACCAGCAGACUUGAUCAUGUAAAGGUUCUUCUGAGAAGUAUACCAACAUUAAUUAACCAAACCAAAGCAGAAAAACACUUUGAUAAGUCAUUGCACAUUUAAGCUGUCUUAUCAUGUUGAAUGUAUACAGCAAAGCCUGAAGGUGCUUUGAAAGUUGUAGAAUAGUUCACUAAAGUCAUGUAACUACAGCAAAUCUGAAACUCUCCCUCCAUGUUUGAAAUGUUGUAAACAUUCAGACCCUAUAUAUAACUUCUAUAGCUGCCUCUGGAAGGUAGUAUGACAACCCUCUGAGCAGUGUGUUCCGCAGCAGUGUCUAGAUAAAUUCAGGUGUCCUUUAGGUAGAGUGAGUGUUCUCUGGGACUCUGUGGCCUUGUCUGAGGACUAAGCUUUGUUUAAUGGGUCCAGUAGCAGUCUGGGGCUGGGGCUCUGUCUGUCUGUCUCACCAGGGGGACAUGGGUGAGAACGUGACUUAAAACGGAAGGAAUGGAAGAACCCCUCCCUCGUUCUAAUUGUAGAACACCUUAAUCUAACUUCCUAAUGGUUAGUUAAAACAUGUGGAUGUUGAGGAGUGUGGCUGAAAAUCUCUGGUGAGCCACUCUCAAUCAAACUCCCACUGUAUUGUUUGACCAAACUACUAUGACUUACUUAUAAAUGUAAGAAAAGGUGGACCUAUGAACUAAUUGUUCUACUGGUUGAUGUUGUGGUGUAGUUCUCUGCUACUUCGUUGCCCUAUGUUCCCAUGGUCCCACCCCUGGUGAGACCUCCCAGGCUCAGCCCCUGACCCCUGUUACUCUGACACACGCUACACUGAGAAGGUGUCUCACAACUCCUUCAAGAAAAUACUUAUUGUUUGUGUUUAUCCAAAUCGUCCUUAUGUUUUGUUCCUAAUUUAUUAAGAAAAAGAAAAGAACAUGUCUGAAAGCAUUAAAAACUACGCAAAACAUUUGAUAACAAUUAUAACUAAUAAUCAUAGAACAGGAGUGGGUAAUGGUGGUGGAGGAUAUGUUUUGUUAGUGGUGCUGCACACCUGAAUGUCCAGGCUGGUAAAGCACAGCAAGCUGAGGAUGACAUAUGUAGUAUGGCACAAUGCACAGCGUGGCUCUGGCACUGGCACAGCCAUCCCUGGGGCCUAUCAGAGGCUAUUGGCUGGUUGGUCGGCCAGUUUACUGUAGGAGUCGCUAUCUACUUCAGUGGGGUACAAUGGUUUGUAAAAAGUGGGAGAGACCAGAUCAGGGAAGUUGUGCUGUGCAAUGGUUCAGGUUGCCCCAUCUUGUUGUGUUUCACUGGGAAUUAUAUGAUGUAGCAAAAUGGUGGACGGUGUAGGGGAGUCACAGAACUGGUGAUGGGGAAAUUACAGGGGAAUGUUGAUUAUCUACUUUUCUGUUAGUGCUUCUCAGGUGGAAAGCAACACUGCAAUGCAUUGCGUUUCAAUUUCUGUUUCUGUUCAGUUUGUGGUUUGACCCCAGUAACAUCCAUUUGUACAAUUGCCAAAUUGUACCAAUGUUUAACGAAAUGGUUCCCAGAACGCAGAGCGCGGAAACAGUUGGUUCCCCAUUGCCAUGUGACUGUGACCCCUAUUGCUUUACCUAAUGUUCAUUCAAUGGCUUGUCUGUGGGAGGGAGAGUGCUCAGAAGUCUGUGUUAAUCAGGUUAAAACAUGUAUAAAAGUAUCUGGGUAUGAAGCACAGAGGGAGGGGAGAAGGGUGGGUUCUCUCUCCAGACCCUGGUUUCCAUAUCUCUAAAGACAGGCCUUUGAUUAGAGAUCACAGGCCCUCAGCAGGAGAAGCUGAGAGAGGGAGGGAGGGAGAGAGGGAGAGAAAGAGAGACUCACUUGUGGUUUAAAGCCACCAACCAAUAGAGGAUACAUUCCAUAACUUCAUACUGUAAUUCCCGCUUCUGAGUCUUGGCGUGGGGAGACGGAGGGGAUAGAGGGAGAGGAACAGUCAGCGUUUUACAGCCGAGUGUUUCAAUCUGUCCAUUCCACCUCCUACCACCCCCAGUCUGACAGACAGACAGACAGGCAGGCAGUGAGCUUGGCCUCUCCAGGCUUGGCCGUCCAACUGCCUGAAUGUCUCAGCUUCUGCGAUUGUAACAAAGCACUUUGCGAAAGGCCAUCCAGAAUAUUGUUUGCUGUUUUUUGGGGGUUAUUACUAUUGUUAUUAUUGUUUAUUCUUGUUGAUAUUUUUAUUUCAUUAUGGAUUAUUAUUUAAAUGCAAAGCUACAUGAAAAUGAGAACUUGAAUAUUUGAUAUUUGGGUUGAAGUCCAUUCGAGCUACCGCCCCACUAGGCCAUAUAUACACCUCUGGCACACACACAGUCUCAGCUAAUAGAUGCAGCUCAGUGGGGAUACACUCGGAGUGAAAGGGUUUUAAGGCAAGGUCUCCUUCAUCUCCACAUACAAUCUCUUUGGAAAACAAGUCAUAUAAUCUCAUUGGGAGAGUUGCGCUGCACAGAAACUUCCAUAACAGUUGAGAAGCUUUCUGAGAAGGCUAACUGGGUUGUUCUACUUAAUGUCAAACAUGCAGUACUUUGUAGGUUUAAAGCUGAUUUAUUUUUAUCUCUCACGUCACUUACACAUACUGGUUCAUUAAUGUAUGUGGUGUCUCAUUGCUGUACAAUAGUGCCCCUUGUGUAGCUAGAGUAAAUUGCUGGAUCUGGUAUCCUCAAAUCAUUCUGAGACAUGAAAAUAGGAACGACCAAAUUAUUGUGCAGUUUUUGUUUGGAGUUAAGGUUUUGGCCUUCACAUAGAUUUUUCAGUCAAAUCAAAAUUUGUUUUAGCAAAAUAGAGUAGUAUGCAGAAGUUUGAGGGAGAAGAAAGUGACUAUCCAUUGUAGAUUGAUUUCUAACUGUAAAAAUCACUAACCAUCCAUUCUAGUUUAAAACGCUGGGGCAUUGGGGGCAGCAGAGUAUUCCCUGUCUGUCAGGCUUGGAUGCUAAAAAUCCUGUCCUCUUCAGAAAAGUAAUUUUCAUUAACAUUGUCAGUGUAUUUUGGAAGCUAUGCAGGGCUAUGCAGGGGAUAGGUGGUUCUGGAGAAUUUGCACUUUUGGCUACAAAAAUAAAUUGUAUUGUAUAUGAGACCACUAAAUCCACACCGUCUAAACCAUAUAAUUCCAUUUGUUUUGUUCUGUUUUUCUCUUUGUAAUAUAUCCCAAAAUGUCUGGCGUCCUUGGUUGAACGAAACAACAAUCUUUCUAUUAAAAAAAAACAAUGGUUGUGACUUUUUUGUCUGCAUGCACAUGUUUGUUUAUAACUAGGAAUGGACACUAGCAAAUGCAUUCAAGAGCAAGCCUCUGGCGAUUGUCAUUUCGAAUGUCAGGCUAAUGGUUUCUGUCUCUCUUCUUUUGCCCACACACUAAAACCACAUCAAAUAGCCUUCCCAAGUAUACGUUUCUCAUCAAAUAUUAUCUAAAAACAGUUAAUAGUACUGCAAUAGUUUGCAUAGUUAAUGAAUAUGUAUUUGUACAUUCACGAUGUUUUGCAUUUCAAUAUUUAGUCUAACUCUGCUUCACUUUAAAAUCAUCCCACGAAAAAUACAGCAAUCCAACCUGUGUUAAUUUUUUAUUAUUAAGAAUAUUAUAAAUUACACAUGUACCUUAAUCUAUCAAUGUAAUAUCUGAGAAUUUAUUGCUAUCUUUUACAGUAUUUUUCAAUCGCUUUGGUGCUAUUUUCAC
rnacentral:lncRNA from 1 species